GACAGCUUAUUCCAAAUGGUUGUGUUGGUUGUAAUGAAACUUAAUCAAGUGAAUCCAAAACUUUGUUUAGUGAGUUUAUAUAGUGAUAUUGCCUGAGAAGUAUAUUCAUGAUAAGCAUUCUUAUGUUUGAUGACAUAAGUUGUUUGGCAUAACAAAGUGAGUUCAUGAUUUUAUGCUUGAUAUAGGUACAUGACUUGAUUUGAUUUUAUCCUUUUGGCCUUUGCAGAUCUGAUAAGAGAAAUUUAGAAUUUAACUGCCUUAUCCUUUCUUUCUUUUUU
rnacentral:misc_RNA from 1 species